rnacentral:rRNA from 1 species
AACUCAAAWUGAAUUGACGGGGGCCCGCACAAGCGGUGGAGCAUGUGGUUUAAUUCGAUGCAACGCGAAGAACCUUACCUGGUCUUGACAUAGUAAGAACUUUCCAGAGAUGGAUUGGUGCCUUCGGGAACUUACAUACAGGUGCUGCAUGGCUGUCSUCAGCUCGUGUCGUGAGAUGUUGGGUUAAGUCCCGCAACGAGCGCAACCCUUUUCCUUAUUUGCCAGCACUUCGGGUGGGAACUUUAAGGAUACUGCCAGUGACAAACUGGAGGAAGGCGGGGACGACGUCAAGUCAUCAUGGCCCUUACGACCAGGGCUACACACGUGCUACAAUGGUCGGUACAAAGGGUUGCUACCUAGCGAUAGGAUGCUAAUCUCAAAAAGCCGAUCGUAGUCCGGAUUGGAGUCUGCAACUCGACUCCAUGAAGUCGGAAUCGCUAGUAAUCGCGGAUCAGAAUGCCGCGGUGAAUACGUUCCCGGGCCUUGUACACACCGCCCGUCACACCAUGGGAGUUUGUUGCACCAGAAGUAGGUAGUCUAACCGUAAGGAGGACGCUUACCACGGUGUGGCCGAUGACUGGGGUGAAGUCGUAACAAGGUAGCCGUAGGGGAACCUGCGGCUGGAUCAACCUC